rnacentral:tRNA from 1 species
AUUCAAGAAAUGAAUUUUCAUAUAUGGUUUCGACCCAUAAUUAGGUAAUAUUUUUUUACCCUUGUUUC